AAAAGAAUUAAGACACGAACAUGGUAUCAAUACAGCUAAUAAAAUAUAAUAUUAUAAAUAUAAUAAUAUAUAUUUAUGAGCUAGGCUUGUGUACUUUUAGAAAUACCGUUACUUCUGUGACAUCAAAUCGUUUUCGAUACUGUGACUUUCGAAUCAACGAUCGGCUCUGUUAGACUUGAUCUAAAGUAUUUGAAGUAUCUGGAAGAUGAAUUUUGCGAUUUCUUAAUAUCAUUUACUUAAUGAUCAAAGAGGGCCAAAAUCAAUACUUUAAUGGACAUGCCGUUUGCAAGUCUAAUAGUAUAAAAAUAUCAAAAUCACAUGAAAUUUUGAUAGAAAAAUUUUUAUACUAUAUGAAACAAGUUCAAUAUUUUUGAUUUAGAAUGUUAGUGUCAUAUCAUCACUAGGUAAAUGAUAAUGAAAAAUUAUAAAAUUUAUUUAAUUUCAAGACAUUUUCAAUACUUUAAAUGAAGUCUAACGGAACCGAUAGUCGAUUCGAAAGCCUCAGCAUCGAAAAUGACUUAAUAUCAU
rnacentral:lncRNA from 1 species